ACGAACGCUGGCGGCAUGCCUAACACAUGCAAGUCGAACGAGACCUUCGGGUCUAGUGGCGCACGGGUGCGUAACGCGUGGGAACCUGCCCUUAGGUUCGGAAUAACUCCCCGAAAGGGGUGCUAAUACCGGAUAAUGUCUUCGGACCAAAGAUUUAUCGCCUUUGGAUGGGCCCGCGUUGGAUUAGCUAGUUGGUAGGGUAAAAGCCUACCAAGGCGACGAUCCAUAGCUGGUCUGAGAGGAUGAUCAGCCACACUGGGACUGAGACACGGCCCAGACUCCUACGGGAGGCAGCAGUGGGGAAUAUUGGACAAUGGGCGAAAGCCUGAUCCAGCAAUGCCGCGUGAGUGAUGAAGGCCUUAGAGUUGUAAAGCUCUUUUACCCGGGAUGAUAAUGACAGUACCGGGAGAAUAAGCUCCGGCUAACUCCGUG
rnacentral:rRNA from 1 species